AUUGAACGCUGGCGGCAUGCCUUACACAUGCAAGUCGAACGGUAACAGGUCUUCGGAUGCUGACGAGUGGCGAACGGGUGAGUAAUACAUCGGAACGUGCCUAGUAGUGGGGGAUAACUACUCGAAAGAGUGGCUAAUACCGCAUGAGAUCUACGGAUGAAAGCAGGGGAUCGCAAGACCUUGUGCUACUAGAGCGGCCGAUGGCAGCUUAGGUAGUUGGUGGGAUAAAAGCUUACCAAGCCGACGAUCUGUAGCUGGUCUGAGAGGACGAUCAGCCACACUGGGACUGAGACACGGCCCAGACUCCGAAGGGAGGCAGCAGUGGGGAAUUUUGGACAAUGGGCGCAAGCCUGAUCCAGCAAUGCCGCGUGCAGGAUGAAGGCCUUCGGGUUGUAAACUGCUUUUGUACGGAACGAAAAGCCCCGGGUUAAUACCCUGGGGUCAUGACGGUACCGUAAGAAUAAGCACCGGCUAACUACGUGCCAGCAGCCGCCGUAA
rnacentral:rRNA from 1 species